GGAAUAUUGGUCAAUGGGCGAGAGCCUGAACCAGCCAAGUAGCGUGCAGGAUGACGGCCCUAUGGGUUGUAAACUGCUUUUAUGCGGGGAUAAAGUUCAGCACGUGUGCUGCUUUGUAGGUACCGCAUGAAUAAGGACCGGCUAAUUCCGUGCCAGCAGCCGCGGUAAUACGGAAGGUCCGGGCGUUAUCCGGAUUUAUUGGGUUUAAAGGGAGCGCAGGCGGGUGCUUAAGCGUGCUGUGAAAUGUACCGGCUCAACCGGUGACGUGCAGCGCGAACUGGGUGCCUUGAGUGAGUGCGAGGUAUGCGGAAUUCGUGAUGUAGCGGUGAAAUGCUUAGAUAUCACGAAGAACCCCGAUUGCGCAGGCAGCCUUCCAGUCAGUUACUGACGCUAAAGCUCGAAGGUGCGGGUAUCGAACA
rnacentral:rRNA from 1 species